rnacentral:rRNA from 1 species
AGUGAACGCUGGCGGCAGGCCUAAUACAUGCAAGUCGAACGGCAGCACAGUGGAGCUUGCUCCAUGGGUGGCGAGUGGCGGACGGGUGAGGAAUACAUGGGAAUCUGCCCAGUCGUGGGGAUAACGUAUGGAAACGUACGCAAAUACCGCAUGCGCCCUUCGGGGGAAAGUCGGGGACCGCAAGGCCUGACGCGAUUGGAUGAGCCCAUGUUCGAUUAGCUAGUUGGCGGGUAACGGCCCACCAAGGCGACGAUCGAUAGCUGGUCUGAGAGGAUGAUCAGCCACACUGGAACUGAGACACGGUCCAGACUCCUACGGGAGGCAGCAGUAGGGAAUAUUGGACAAUGGGCGCAAGCCUGAUCCAGCCAUGCCGCGUGAGUGAAGAAGG